ACAUUCAAGUCGAACGAUUGAAGCUGGAGCUUGCUCCGGCCGAUUUAGUGGCGGACGGGUGAGGAACGGGUGGGUAACCUGCCUCCUACAGGGGGAUAGCAGUUGGAAACGACUGGUAAAACCGCAUAAGCGCCCGGUGUCGCCUGACACAGUGUGAAAACACUCCGGUGGUAUGAGAUGGACCCGCGUUUGAUUAGCUAGUUGGUGAGGUAACGGCCCACCAAGGCGACGAUCAGUAGCCGGCCUGAGAGGGUGAACGGCCACAUUGGGACUGAGACACGGCCCAAACUCCUACGGGAGGCAGCCGUGGGGAAUAUUGCCCAAUGGGGGAAACCCUGAUGCAGCGACGCCGCGUGAGUGAUGAAGUAUUUCGGUAUGUAAAGCUCUAUCAGCCGGGAAGAUAAUGACGGUUCCUGGCUAAGAAGCACCGGCUAAAUACGUG
rnacentral:rRNA from 1 species